UUUUUUUUUUUUUUUUGUCUUUUGUCUUUUUAGGGCCACACCCACAGCAUAUGGAGGUUCCCAGGCUAGGAGUCCAAUUGGAGCUACAGCUGCCAGCCUACGCCACAGCUCACGGCAAUGCCAGAUCCUCAACCCACUGAGCAAGGCCAGGGAUCAAACCCAAAACCUCAUGGUUCCUAGUCAGAUUUGUUUCUGCUGCGCCACAACAGGAACUCCCCUGGAAUUCACAUUCUUAAGUUAUCCUCUUCCUUGAGUGUUGCUGGACCCAGUGACUCAAUUCUAACAAAAAGAAUACAGUACAAGUUAUGGAUGUGACUUCCAAAAGUAGGUUCUAGUAACACUCAGGCUCCUGUCCCCCGCCCCCUCCCCUGUGUGUGUGUGUGUGUGUGUGUGUGUGUGUGUGUGUGUUGUGCAAUAGAGUAGCCUCUAGCUACGCGUGUUACAUAAGUGCUUGGAAUGUGGCUAUUUUGAUAGACGCUGAGUUUAAAACCCAACUGGAUUUCAAGGACGGUACCAAAAAAAAUAAUGUGAAAAUCUCAAUAAUAUGUACACUGACCAUACGCUGAAAUACAGUAUUCAGAUAUAUAGGUUUAAAUAAAAACAUUAAAAUUAACUCCACUGGUUUCUUUCUGUUUUUUUAAUGUGGAAAAUUUGAAAUUUCAUAUGUCAACCUGCCUUUGGGGGCCACAACAUAUUUCUUUUGAAGGCCACUGAUACAGAUGAUAUUUUACUUGGUGAAGGAACACAGGACCCAUCAGAUUUCCUUGUGCCAUUGCCGAAUGCAAAUCCACUUGAAGAUCACUGCCUUAAGAACUUUUUCCUCCCAGUUUCUCCACCUGAGUAAUUCUGCCUCCAACCCUUCUUAAACUUAUAUUCUAGUCAUCCAAGUCAACUGAAAUAAAGGUGACUUUAAUGUCAUAAUUUCAAUGCACCAGAGGAUCCAGAAGAAGGGAGGGGGUAAAUAAAGAAGAAACCGGCUUUUUAAAACACUGUGACCAUUUGAUGCUUGAGUUCUGAAUAAGUUCUCCAUUUUCAACACUGAAUAAGUUCUCCAUUUUCAGUAAGGGAAUUUAUACAGUAAUUAACAAACACCCUGAAAGUGAUAGGAGAUACUCACUCAGGGACAAACACGAGAACGUGUUUCCAGCAGGACUGGGUCUGAUGCCCUCCCCUAAGCAACAAACCCUCUUUCCUAGGCCAACAGGUAAGCAGGAGACACUAAUAUGAGCCCUCAAAAAAAGCAUCUGGAAGGUAAAUAGAUUCACAUGUUUAAUCUGACAUUAUUGGAACAUUUUUCCUGCACCGUGAAAACUCUGCUUUAAUAAUUAAGUUGUUUUCCUCAGAGCACCUCAGCCUACUUAUAAACACCUCUUCAUUUCAAGUUAGAUUCCUUGGGCUUGAUUGAUUUUAAUGUUUAAAAGCCUAAAUUCGGGCAUUGUUUGAUUGUCUAAUCCAUGGCUGAUGCCCUGUGGGUUUGUAGUUCAGCUCUGGGCAGGGGGUAGAGAAGAGGGGUUUUUGUUGUCAUUGGGUUUUGUUUUGCUUUUUGCAGUUUUUAGUAAAUUCCUACACCCACGGUGGAAGGGAAGGAACAAAAGGGACAGGGAAGGGAAAUUUCUGACAGUUUUCAGGACCCUUCAGUAUGCACGUAAUGAAAACCCGGUAGAAUUAUCAGUAGUGUGCGCUUCUGUUAGGCAUUGAUCACAACUCUUUAAAACUAUCUAGCACCCUCCACCUUGUCGUUCAAGCCAGAAAUCCGGUGAUAAAUCUAGAGUCCUCACUUUCUUUCACUUCCCAACACGAUCAGUCACCAACAUUUGUAGCUUCAAACUUUCUUAAUGUCUCUUGAAUCACAUUCACCCUUCCUUCCUACCCCUCCCUCCUUUCAGAUGCCCGAGCACCUCUGCCGGAGUUGCUUCAACCCUCUUCUAACUGGCCUUCCCAGGUCUUGCCUCUCUGCUACUCAAUCUGCUUAAAACCUCCAUGGCUCCCUACUGUCCACAGGACAAGUUCAGACUUCUCAACGGAGUAUAUUCUUCAUGAGCUGCCCUGAGGCUGACCAUCAUGGGGUAGGGGGUGUAAAGAGAGACCAAAAUGGACAGCAGAUUUGGGGCAUGUUAAGGCAUUUAGUCAUUAUCUUUUGAGCAAUAGGAAGUCAAAAACGGUCAGUUUUAAGUAGGGUCAUACAUGAGCAGAUUUGCAUAGUGUUUGAAAGCAAGGGUUCUAGAAUCAAAUUUUUUUUCUUUUUUUUUUUUUGUCUUUUUGCCAUUUCUUGGACUGCUCCCGCAACACAUGGAGGUUCCCAGGCUAGGGGUCGAAUCGGAGUUGUAGCCACUGGCCUACCCCAGAGCCACAGCAACACAGGAUCCGAGCCACGUCUGCAACCUACACCACAGCUCACAGCAACGCAGGAUCUUCAACCCACUGAGCAAGGCCAGGGAUCAAACCCACAACCUUAUGGUUCCUAGUCGGAUUCGUUAACCACUGAGCCACGACGGGAACUCCCUAGAAUCAAAUUUAAGUCAAAGUCUGACUGCACCACUUAGCUGUAUGUCCUUGGGCAAGUUACUUAACCUUUCUGAGUUGGUUUCUUUUUCUUUCUUUUUUUUUUUUUUUUUUUUUUUUUUUUUUUUUUUUGUCUUUUUGUCUUUUUCUUUUAGGGCCGCACCUGCGGCAUAUGGAGGUUCUUAGGCUAGGGGUCGAAGGGAGCUACAGCUGCUGGCCUACGCCACAGUCACAGCAACGCUAGAUCCAAGCCUCAUCUGUGACCUACAUCACAGCUCACAGCAACACCAGAUCCUUAACCCACUGAGCAAGGCCAGGGAUCGAACCCACGACCUCAUGGUUUCUAGUGGGAUUCAUUUCCACUGUGCCACAACAGGAACUCCUGGUUUCUUUGACUAUAAAAGGGAAGUUAAGACCCCUAUAAGAUAGGCGCUAUUGUGAUAUCUAAUUGAGGUAUUGAUAUCUCACUGAGGUAGUGCCCAGCAUCAAUAUCCAGCACAUAGUAAGCACCCAACUAAUCAUAACUAAUAUUACCAUGAAUAACUUAAUCUUCCUAUGCUUCUUCUAAGAAGCUCUCUAUGAGCCCUCAAGACUGAGUU
rnacentral:lncRNA from 1 species